AUAAUUAAUAUCUUACUUAAAUUUAUGUUAAUUUUCGAGAAAUAUCUUUUUAUUUAGUAUCUUAAGGAAAAAUUUUUUUUUGUUAUAGUUUAUUAGUACUGUGAGGGAAUAGAUGAAAUAAUUGAAAUAUUUAAUUUUUUUUAAGUAUGUUUAAUUUACAGUACCUUUUGUAUCAGGGUUGAUUAAAUAUUUUAAUAUAUAUUAUUAUCUCGAUCUCAAAAGAGCUAAUUUAUUAUUUUAGUUAAUGUUGCAUAAUUAUUAUGAAUAUAGAUUAGUAAAGAAAUUUUAUUUCGGUUUUGAUGGUAUCUAGUUUUUUAAGAAUUAAAUUUAAUUUAUUUUCUUUAUUUAACUUAUAUAUUUGUUUAUAAUUUAUUUAUUGAAUAAUAGUCUAUAGGGGAUAAGCUCUAUAUAUCUCUAUAAAUAUUAAUUUGAUAAAAUUUAUGUAGGGUUAUAAUUAUCCAUCAUUUAUAAGUGUGUUAUAAUUUAUUUUUUUUAUUAAUUGAUUUUUUUUAUUUUAGUUUUUUAUUAAAAUACCAUAAAAAAUAAUUAAUUGUGGGAAAUAAUGAUUAAAUUAGUAUAAUAAUUGGUUUAUAAAUAUUAUUUAUUAAUAAUAAAAUAAGGAAUUCGGCAAAUAUAGUUCUCGCCUGUUUAACAAAAACAUGUCCUUUUGAAUUUAAUUUAAGGUCUGGCCUGCCCAGUGAAUUAUUUUAACGGCCGCGGUAUAUUGACCGUGCAAAGGUAGCAUAAUCAUUAGUCUUUUAAUAGAGGGCUGGAAUGAAAGGUUUAACGAAGAACUGACUGUCUCAUUUUAUAUGUAUUAAAAUUUAAUUUUUUAGUUAAAAAGCUAAAAUUACAUUGGAAGACGAGAAGACCCUAUAGAUCUUUAUAUAUGUUUUUUAAAACUUAUUUUAUAUUAUUAUAUUUUACUAAAUUUAUAUUUGGUUGGGGUGACAAAAAUAUACAAUUAACUUUUUUAUUUUUUAAACAUUAAUUUAUGAUUAUUUGAUCCGUUAUUAGUGAUUAAUAGAUUAAGUUACCUUAGGGAUAACAGCGUAAUCUCCUUUCAGAGUUCAUAUUUACAAGGAGGCUUGCGACCUCGAUGUUGGAUUAAGAUAAUAAUUAGGUGUAGCCGCUUAGUAUAUAGGUCUGUUCGACCUUUAAACU
rnacentral:rRNA from 1 species